UGCCAUGACGGGGAGCGACACCUAUGAGCCGCAGUUGGCGGAGGGUGGCGCCAUCUAUGAGAAAAGGUUUAGCGUAGGUAUUGGGGGAGCGCCUGGAACAAAACGAAUUCCGGUAGUUCGCCAUUUGUGGACCCCAGGAGCCAGCCCGCCGAAAAUCCGGCGUCGGUCCGCUUAUGGGUAUGGGUGGGAUCAUUCCCAAGCAAGAUCUGCAACAAGCCAGACGUGUCAGCAAGGCGCUAAGCAGCAAAACCACGGGGAAAAAAACCAACAAUAUUCGAAGAUCCCGCCGGCAGUUGUGACAAUUAAUUUUGGGGACGCUCAAAGGCUCCCAAUUGUCCACCGGCGUCAGUAAACCGAGUGUAGAGGUGGAAGUGGUGGCUCGAGGAAAACCCAGGGGCCGAGCAAAAGUCCGAGUGGACUAUUCCGUGUCCCCUAUUAAAGAACUCCAGGUGGCUCAACUAAGGAAGUCCAACCAAAGGCGGACGGAGGAGCACCGAGGAAGGAGAAGAAAUCCCGGCCUAAAAUAGGCUAACCGCAGCAAGUUCGCUUCGAACCGAAGCUAGGUUCGAGCGAACGGAGGAGCGCAGAGGAGGCGCUAACCGCAGUGUAGCGCGAGAUUCAAGUACGGGAGGGAGGAAAACCUCGGAGGAGUCCCCCUGAAAAAGGUCCAGUUUCGGAUCCGGCCGUAGUGUCCCUGAAAGUGAUUUUGAGGAGCCAAUUUAGUGAUUCAGUCAAACCAAAGUGAAAUGCAUAAAAUUUAGGCAAGAAAAAAAAAAAAAAUCGGAAGAGAACCGAAGAAAAAAAAAAUGUAAGGAAGCCAAGAAAAAUUAACGUAACGUCCCUAAUGGCCUGAUCGGGAAACAAGGCUCGUCAGAAGAAAGUUAUAGUCACUACCAAUUGUGUUUGUUGUCGUGGUUUUAUUUAUUUGUGCGCCCCAUUGGGGAAAUUUUUGUAUAGUCUAAAACCUUUGUUUCAGCGACCCCUCGAAAGCGCUUU